rnacentral:rRNA from 1 species
UACGUAGGUGGCAAGCGUUGUCCGGAUUUACUGGGCGUAAAGAGCGCGCAGGCGGUUGAUUAAGUCGAAUGUGAAAGCCCCCGGCUCAACUGGGGAGGGUCAUUCGAUACUGAUUGACUUGAAGGCAGGAGAGAGAAGUGGAAUUCCCGGUGUAGUGGUGAAAUGCGUAGAUAUCGGGGGGAACACCAGUGGCGAAGGCGACUUCUUGGCCUGUUCUUGACGCUGAGGCGCGAAAGCUGGGGGAGCAAACGGG